UGUCUGUAUCUACAUGUCUUGCCAUUCAUUUACAUGGAAUAGAUGGCCGUAUAUAAUUUAUUUUUAGCCACUACGUAUGGUCUGGCAUUUAUUUGAGAGGUUUGUCAUCCAUCUUUAUUUUAAGGAGUGACAAUAAUAACCCCUCUCUUCCUUCGAGGGGAUGUCAGGCGGAUAUAAUAAAUGCACAUUAAAAGCUGCAUUCACCUGUGUGUGUAUUCAGGCCAUGGAUCACAGUGACAAAAGCAAACAAAUGCAACAUCUGUGGUGACACCCUGACUUCAGCCCACCCCAAGCGAUGCAGCACAGAGAGAGUGAUGCAAGAGAUCCUGCAAUCCCCAAAAUGCGACGAUGCAUCUCCAAGAGUUACAGAGGGAGAGAGAUUUUAAUGCAUAAGGAUCAGCCUGCCAUGACAAGCCCCAGCAACAUUCAUACGGGCAUCGGUGGAGCAGUUAAGUGAGUGAGAAAUGGGGCAGGGGUCGGACUUCUGUCAGUUCCUCAGCUUCGUUUAAGUUUUAGUUUCACUUGCUGAAGGAAAGCUAAGUUCAGGGACAAGCCAGCAAGCACAGAAGCUGGUCUCAUUAGCUGCAAGUGUGGUUUGCUACGUAAAUCCACAAUCCUGAAUUUUAACAGGAAGGGGAAGCAUUCAGUUGGCAAAUGUGAACCAACUGAUGUGAUGGCAAAGCUCUUAUGGACUUCUGCCCAGCCACCAGUCAAGGGGCCUCCACUCCCUACUGAAAGAAGAUGCUGGGAUUAAUGAAACACCAUCCUUGUUGUUAACGCCAGGAUUCGGCUUAGCUCACUUAACACCUCACCUGCUUAGUGUGAACUCUUACAGGACACAAACCUGACGGCGCGUGCUGGAGGGGUCAUAUUGAGCUCUGCAGCCUCCUGCUGUCACAGUUUUAUUGUAAAGCUAUAGCCAAUGCUGACACGAGUCUUUGGGCAUCAGAUGCUUUUUGCACUGUUUUAAAUGCAGGUACCUGUCCCACCAGCCUCGAUCAUCUCCCCCACUUUUUCUCCCUUGGAGCCAUUACCGCCUGUCACAUAAACUCACCUGGGUUUACACUUGAUUGACGGGAGGGACGGUAACAGCUCCUUUAGUGUCGUUCUGGUCUGUCAGGUCAGUGCGGCUGGUAUGCAUGCGCACAGGGUAUGCAUGAUAAAAAACACCCUGACAUCUUCCUGAAAAAUGUGG
rnacentral:lncRNA from 1 species